UACGUAGGGGGCAAGCGUUGUCCGGAAUCAUUGGGCGUAAAGAGCGUGUAGGCGGCCUGUUAAGUCUUGCGUGAAAUCCCGGGGCUCAACCCCGAGCGGUCGUGAGAAACUGGCAGGCUAGAGUGCGGGAGAGGAGAGUGGAAUUCCUGGUGUAGCGGUGAAAUGCGCAGAUAUCAGGAAGAACACCCGUGGCGAAGGCGGCUCUCUGGAACGCAACUGACGCUGAGACGCGAAAGCGUGGGGAGCAAACAGG
rnacentral:rRNA from 1 species